rnacentral:lncRNA from 1 species
UAUAACUUGUAAAAAUUGUAAAACAAAAUAAAAGCAAAGUCACAUGCACUAGCAAAAGCAAUCUAACAUAACGCCAAGUUACCAACAAUUUACAAAGUCACCCAAAAGCAAAGUAAAAUAAUGCAAGUUACCAACAAUUUGCAAACAAAAAACCCUAACCUUCCCCGUCGUCACACGCACUAGCAACACUCAAUACUGGUUCGAUACACUCUCAACACCGAUUUGAAGGACGUCAGUCGCACGAUUCCGGCUAGAGCAAGCCAUCUUCUUCCCCGAGUCCAUCGAGCCACUUCACAAUCACUGGUUCCAGCCGAACAAUUGCACUAUCACAACCUUCAAGAUCGCCACCCGUAUGGCUUCUCCUAGUUCCCAUCAUUGACAGCUCCGUAAUCACCACUUUUCGACAAGCGCAACAGCCCUAGUGAAGGAUCAGAUUGUAUUUGAUUUCAGAAACUUCGCCAUUUCAAUUAAUUGUGGCUUUAUUUGAACAAUUAAUUUCGGUGUUAUAUUAAUGUAUUAUUGUUACUUUAUUUGAACAAUUAAUCUUAGUGUAUUAUAUUUUGAAACUUUGAACGUAUUAUUAUAGUUUUAUUUGAACAAUUAAUCUCAAUGUGUUAUAUUUUAAAACUAUGAAUGUAUUAUUUUAUCUUUAUUUAAACAAUUAGUUUAUUUAAAUUUUAUUCAAUUUUUAAUUUAAUCAGUAUUAAAUAUUUUUUUUAUAUUAGAUUUUUUUUAUUUCAUUAGUUCAUGGUAGGGAUGGCGAUUUGGAAUGAGAUUGAGACAUAUUUUUGUCCCAUAAAAAAAUUUAGGAACGGGACUGGGACUUUUUUUUUUUUUAUCUCACUUGCAUACAUGAGACAGGAGUGAAUUGGCAAAUUCUGCCACAUCCGUCUCAUUGCCGACUAAGAAUGAGAAUAUUUUCAAUUGGGAUGGGAUCCCGCAGGAUCCUAUCUCUUUUGGGACGAGAUCGGGACAUAUUUUUAUCCCAAAAAAAAUAUAGGGACGGGAGUGAGACGUUUUUUCAUCCCACUUGCAUAUACGGACGAGAAUGAGAUUGGUAAAUCCUAUAUCAUCUCGUCCCAUUACCAACCUUAGUUCAUGGAUUGGAGAGAACUAAAAAUUUUUAAUUCGGAAACUAAUGCGCAAAAUGGUGGAUUGGAUAUGGAUUAAGUUAAAUCCGCAUCCGAUCCGCAGACGUAUGGAUUGAGUUAAAUCCGCAUUUGAUCCGUAGAUGUAUGGAUUGGAUUUGGAUUGAAUUUAUUCAAUCCGUGGAUUGGAUUGGAUUGAAAAAUUAUAAUCCGCAAAAUCAUGGAUCGGAUCUGGAUUAAUGUCUAAUCUGUAAAAUCCGAUCCGUGAAAACCCCUAAAUUUAACAUCAAUUUUCUGGACCAACCUACGUUACAGAAUAUGUAACGUACACACCCAAUGGGAAGCAGCACACGUGUCCUGAGGAGAGAGAAAAACCGUGCAAAUGCAGGCAAUAAGAGUUGGCUACAGUUGGAUUUGUAAGUUACAGAAUCUGUAACUUAGCCAGCUCCCAAUUUUCUUUGUAAACCAAGUCAUAGACUAUCCAGAUAUCCUACGAAAAUGACUUUUGAAUCUUUGGACGUGGAGUGGACUGGGUGGUUUUAUUCAUAUAGAUGCCAUUUGACUAGAGCUGGCAAAAUUUAACACGAUUCGAUUAUUUGACACGAACACGACACGAAUAAAUGAGUGUGGAUCGUUAAAUUUAACACGAUUAUUAAAUGGAUUGUUUUGGGUCGACACGAUUUUUUUCCAUGUCAGAUUAAAGUUAAAGUUUUUGACCUAUUUACCCGAUCAAUGACUUGAUUAUAUUUUCUAUU